GCGGGGCUAGGGAGGCUCGGUUGGGCGCGCGGGCGGAGCCCCCACCCGGGAGGCUCCCUCAGAGACUCUGCCCCGCCCCCCGUUGGGGGAAGCCGCCCCCCUCCCCCCGGGGCGCCCCUCGCUCAGGGAGGGGGGAGCUAGUCCCGCCGUCCUGUGCGGGCCGGGCGGCCCCGUGGAGCGUCCUGGCUCGGAGCCGCCCUGCCAGCGCCGCCUCCACUGGGAGCCGGGAGCCCGGGCCGAGCCGCGGCUGCUCCCCAGCGGGGUGUGUGCGGGGAGAGCCCUUCCCUAGCGCCCCUCUGUGCCCAGCCGGGGGGACUCUCUGCGGGGGCCGGGCUCUGCCGACACCAGCCCCUGAGCCGGAGCCUGCAGAUUCACUCCAGAUUGUCACAUCACCCCAGGGGCCGGGGAAGGGGAAUGGCGGCAGUGGACCCGACUCAGGUGAUGAGACAGUGAGUGAAAGCAAUGAAGAGAAUCCUUGUCCGGCAGGUCCUUAGCAAAUGGAACUGAAGGGGAUGUUGCUGGGAAGAUGUGAAGGGGAUGAUUCCCAGAUUCCUGGGCAAGGAGAAGCCCAAGAAACUCAGUGCAGGCCAGAGAAGCAGCAGGGAAACCCCCUAGGAAAGAUACUGGGUGAAUCCACUUGCCGAGGGGGAGGUUUGGAAGAACCUAAUGAAGCCACAAUCCAACCAAGAACCUGCACUAAGGAGAAGCGUUUUGAAUGUGCUGAGUGCAGGAAACGCUUUAGUUGUAAAGAACACCUUGUUAGACAUCUGAGAGUCCACACGGGAGAGACCCCCUAUCACUGCCCCGAGUGCGGGAAACAAUUCAAUGACCAAUCAAUCCUUAUCAGACAUCAGCGAACCCAUACAGGAGAGAGACCCUAUAAGUGCCAUGACUGCGGGAAAAGCUUCAGUCAGAGGUCAGGCCUUAUUACACAUCAGACAGUCCACACAGGAGAGAAAUGCCAUAAAUGUCCUGACUGUGGACAAACCUUCACUCAGAGAGGGCAUGUUACUAGACAUCGGAGGACUCACACAGGUGAGAGACCCUAUGGAUGCCCAGAGUGUGGGAAAAAGUUCGCUUCCACCUCUGACCUUAUUAUACAUCAGAGAAUCCACACAGGAGAGAAACCCUAUAACUGCCCCGACUGUGGGAAAAGCUUCAGUCACAGCCAUCACCUUACUGACCAUCGGAGAAUCCACACAGGAGAGAGACCCUAUACCUGCCCCGACUGUGGGGAAAGCUUCAAAAGUAAAUCUGGCUUCAAAGUCCAUCGGAGAAGGCACACGGGAGAGUGCCCCUAUCAAUGUUCCGUCUGUGGGGAAAGGUACAAAACCAGGAACUCUCUAACAUGCCACAUGAAACACCACACAGAAUAGUGCCAGACACUUCCCCUCCUCUCGGCAUCUGUAGAGAUGGGAGGAACGAUAGAAAUAAUAAACAGUUGCCCAAUUCCUUAGAGAAUCAAGUAGCACUACUGUUUACUUGUGUGCUGUGUAUCUCAGGAGGACGGAGGCACCAGGAAAGUGACAUUAUUAUUAUUACUUUAUUGCAUUAUUCUCUGACACUCGACCAUCCCAUCCCAUCUCCCUGUGUCAUGAGGAGGCUUUUACUGAGCCGAAGGGUUUACCUGGAUUUCCUGGUCCCUGUUUUUAGGCAGGGGCUCGGUUCACAUUGUUGCCACUGGGAUUAUUCUAUAAAUUGCUGCUCCGGGAGACAUUUUCUCCCUGUUUCUUCAUGGUGGGGAGAGCAGGGGUCUGAAAUUUCUGGAUAGUUGGGUGUCAGUAGAUUGUUUAUUGUUCACUGAAUUAUUUUCUGGGUAUUGCUCAAUUAUGUGUUUUUUCCCUCCCAAAUAAUAUGUAAAUAAAACUUUUCUGGCAAAUCUCAUUUUCCUGAACAGCC